GGUGGGUCUGAGUGCAGUGGUGUUUACAACUAAUCACAACUAGUUACAGAUUCCUCUGUUCAUUUUCCACUCCCACUGUUUCACUUGACCAGCCUUAA
rnacentral:Y_RNA from 1 species